GACGAACGCUGGCGGCGUGCCUAAUACAUGCAAGUCGAGCGGGGAUUAUGCUUGAUCGCUUCGGUGAGACGGCAUAUAUCCUAGCGGCGGACGGGUGAGUAACGCGUGGGUAAUCUACCUCGUAGUUCGGGAUAACAGGCCGAAAGGCUUGCUAAUACCGGAUGAGUUCAUGCUUAUGCAUAUAGGCAUGAAGAAAGGGCUAGCCCGCUAUGAGAUGAGCCCGCGUCCCAUUAGCUUGUUGGUGGGGUAAUGGCCUACCAAGGCAACGAUGGGUAGCCGGCCUGAGAGGGUGUACGGCCACACUGGGACUGAGACACGGCCCAGACUCCUACGGGGGGCAGCAGUAGGGAAUUUUCGGCAAUGGGCGAAAGCCUGACCGAGCGACGCCGCGUGAGGGGACGAAGGCCUUCGGUUGUAAACCUCUGUCUGGGGGAUGAGAACGGACGGUACCCCGGAGGAAGCCCCGGCUAACUACGUGCCAGCAGCCGCGGUAAAUAGCGUACU
rnacentral:rRNA from 1 species